CCCCCUUCGUCCAGCCAAUGCAGCGCAUCGGCGGUCCACAGCAUCAGGCAAAUGAAGUGAGGAGAAUACUUUCAGCGGACGGCUGGGAUGCUGGCCACCUGUCUAGAAUAAUCAGCGUGAGUUGAGAUGUGGUGUGAGCAGAGAAACUCAAGUCAGGGAUGCCUACAGGGAGAUCUCGGGUAGGGGGAUGCGGAGGCUCAGCAGAUGAGUGCCGGGCUAGCGUCCAAGAGCAUACUCCGCCGGGAAGCCUUGUUCCCCUACAGCGACGCAAUACAUUUGCAGAAGAAGCACGACCGUAUCUCCAAGCCCUGCGUGUUCCUGUCACCUCUGGUAUCCCGUCAAUAGGCGGACAGAGCCAGGGCGGCCUGCUCGGUGCAUAACGUCACAAUUCGUCAGGGCCAUGGGUGCAAAAUGUACCCCGUGCUGGAGGGAGUCUCCGCAGACAGGCGCCACUGCACCGCGCCCGCUGCUUCUCAAAGAUUUAUUGUGC
ensembl:lncRNA